GACGAACCGUGCAAACGUUGUUCGGAAUCACUGGGCUUAAAGGGCGCGUAGGCGGCUUAUCAAGUCGGGGGUGAAAUACUUCAGCUUAACUGGAGAAGUGCCUUCGAUACUGGUGGGCUUGAGGGAGGUAGGGGUCUGUGGAACUUCUGGUGGAGCGGUGAAAUGCGCAGAUAUCAGGAGGAACACCGGUGGCGAAGGCGGAUCUCUGGGCCUUACCUGACGCUGAGGAGCGAAAGCAUGGGGAGCAAACAGG
rnacentral:rRNA from 1 species